GGUGGUUACAACUCAACGAAAAAGAAGACUAUUGAAAAGAAAACCAAAGCCACGCAGUCCGAGUUAUUUCACGCAGCAGAGAUAUACCAAACUGCAGAAGAAACAUCUGUAAUCAAGCUGGAUCUCUUGGAUAGAAGGUGUUUGGAUUCGAGGACACGCAAUAAAGCGAGAGGAUCUUCAAUGCCCCCGAUACGAACAAAAAAAGAGCAACAGACGCGCACCAGAAAAGACGGAGUAGUGUAUCCAUUCAAUGACUUCAGAGAAGGUUCAAACUACAAAAAACUUGUCCGUUUUAAACAGAAGUUAAUGUCAUCAGAAAGAUUUAGUGACUAUGUCGAGAUUACAAGAGCUGAGAAACUAUGGACCAGAAUGAACCUCCCUGCUAAAGACUGGAAAGUAAUAGAGGCUCACUUUGACAAUCGGAUAUCUCGCAGAGUCCUUUUUCUCGAGCUGAUUUCAUUCGCAAUGCAUGCACUGUUUCUAGAAUUCAGAACUGCACUUAAGGUUGCAAUUUCUAUUUUAUCGGAUGAAAA